UGGGGAAUAUUGGACAAUGGGCGCAAGCCUGAUCCAGCCAUGCCGCGUGAGUGACGAAAGUCUUCGGAUUGUAAAGCUCUUUUAGCAGGGAAGAUAAUGACGGUACCUGCAGAAUAAGCCCCGGCUAACUUCGUGCCAGCAGCCGCGGUAAUACGAAGGGGGCUAGCGUUGUUCGGAAUUACUGGGCGUAAAGCGCACGUAGGCGGAUUGAUAAGUUAGAGGUGAAAUCCCGGGGCUCAACCUCGGAACUGCCUUUGAUACUGUUAGUCUCGAGUCCGAUAGAGGUGAGUGGAAUUCCUAGUGUAGAGGUGAAAUUCGUAGAUAUCGAGAGGAACACCGGUGGCGAAGGCGGCCAACUGGACGAAUACUGACGCUGAGACUCGAAAGCGUGGGGAGCAAACAGGAUUAGAUACCCAUGUAGUCCCUGAGCGGGCUGGCAAGGCGCAU
rnacentral:rRNA from 1 species